rnacentral:rRNA from 1 species
UACGUAGGCUGCAAGCGUUGUCCGGAUUUACUGGGCGUAAAGCGCGCGCAGGCGGCAGGUUAAGUAAGGCGUGAAAUCUCCCUGCUCAACGGGGAGGGUGCACUUUAGACUGACCAGCUAGAGGGCGGUAGAGGGUGGUGGAAUUGCUGGUGUAGCGGUGAAAUGCGUAGAGAUCAGCAGGAACACCCGUGGCGAAGGCGGCCACCUGGGCCGUACCUGACGCUGAGGCGCGAGAGCGUGGGGAGCAAACAGG